CAGCAGCCACGGGAAUACGUAGGGUGCGAGCGUUAAUCGGAAUUACUGGGCGUAAAGCGUGCGCAGGCGGUUGUGUAAGACAGGUGUGAAAUCCCCGGGCUUAACCUGGGAACUGCGCUUGUGACUGCACAGCUAGAGUAUGGCAGAGGGGGGUGGAAUUCCACGUGUAGCAGUGAAAUGCGUAGAGAUGUGGAGGAACACCGAUGGCGAAGGCAGCCCCCUGGGCCAAUACUGACGCUCAUGCACGAAAGCGUGGGGAGCAAACAGGAUUAGAGACCCGUGUAGUCCCUGUCUCUUAUAU
rnacentral:rRNA from 1 species